GCCACGGCAAGCACCGGGCCAUCAUCUGGCAGCAAGUAGAACAUUACCUGGUCCUGCCCUCCCAGCUAGCACAACAGGGGACCCUCGGCUGGCUGCCACUUACCUUGUGCAUGGGAGGGACAUAAUAGAUGUGGUGUGUCAACGGGACAACCAUGUGCUACUACUAGCAACGAAUGCUGAGGCCCAAUGACCUUCUUCCCUCCCGCUAACCACUCCCCAGGCUGGGCCGGCUUUCUGCUGGCUCACAAACCCCAGCAGGGGACAGCCUGCAUUCCUCCAGUGGCCAGUGCUGCUCCGGCUCCGCAGGAGGGAAAGUGCUCUUGGAAGCGCUGCAGAGGUGCCUGACCCCUGCCAUGCUGGCCCGGCUGUGCUGCUGCCUGCUCCUGGCGGCCCGUCUCUCGGACACCUGGGAUGUCCCCGAGUCCGCGGGGCCCGGCUCCGACGUGGCAGAGCAGAUCCGCGACAUGUACGCCAAAGUGCUGGAGAUCUGGCAGGAGG
rnacentral:lncRNA from 1 species